rnacentral:ribozyme from 1 species
GGGGUGCGUUAUAGACUUACCUCCACGUGGUGCACCCUGGGAAACGUAUAUUAAUAUGGCAAAAAAGUCUAU